rnacentral:misc_RNA from 1 species
CAGCUCCUUAGUUCCUUGCUCAUUUUUUUUUAAAAAAAAAUACAUUUCAUUUGUAUGAUGGUGGGAGCUUUCUGGUCAAUGUACUACUACCAAAACAUGUACAGAAAAAGAACUUUCCUUAAGCUAGUCGGCCGGUAAGAGAGGACGGAGAGAUACUCGAAGAGUGGAACGAGAAAAGACAAUACCACGACGAAGGAUUGAAAUACGCAGCAACAACCCUUUACUUUGUCUUCUCGUCGACAAGGAGAUGCAGCUUGUCAUGGUGGAACCUGUCGGGGAGAAUGUGAACUCGGAUUUCUUGAUAUACAGAUCAUCAUCAACCCGAAUACUUAGCUAAACAUGUACUUUUUAUGUCAUGUCAUCACGGGUCGUGAAAAGAUGCAGUCCCAUUUGCCUUUUUAUAUGAUCUGGUAUCAACCUGUUAAUGAGGUCUGGAGAAGCACCAGCCAACUCCUGCUUAAAAUUGAAAAGAGGCGGCAAUUGCCGGCCAUGGGGAAGGCGUGCAUUGGGUUCUCGAAGCUCGUCAAAGAAAGGAUGCGCACAUGCUUCAAGAGCAUUGCAACGAAGACUAGGUGAGUACUGCAAUAGACGUGAAGCAAGGUCAAUAGCUUCAGGCGGCAUUCGUUUGUGGAAUACCUUAUGCCAAGGGUGUGCUUUGAUUUGUGGAAACCGAAAAUCAGUGUAAUUUGGAUUCAUACAACGAAUUUCCUCUCUCGUUGGUGUUCCAAGUACCUUGAUUAUCUCAACAAGCUGAUCGACAGCAUUUUCUCCUGGAAAUAAUGGCUGGCCUAGGAGAAGCUCUGCAAGGACACAACCAGCUGACCAGAUAUCAAUAGAGGUCGUAUACUCUGUUGCACCGAAUAUAAGUUCAGGAGCCCGAUAAAACCGUGAGCAGAUGUA